rnacentral:rRNA from 1 species
UCAGGAUUAACGCUGGCGGCGUGCCUAAUACAUGCAAGUCGAAUGGUAGUAGCAAUACAAACCAUGGCGAACGGGUGAGUAACACGUAGGCAACCUGACUUUAAGACGAGGAUAACCGUUGGAAACGACGGAUAAUACUGGAUAGGACAUCACAAAGGGCAUCCUUAGAUGUUUAAAGGUUAUCAUGCCACUUAGAGAGGGGCCUGCGGCGCAUUAGCUAGUUGGUGAGAUAACAGCCCACCAAGGCGAUGAUGCGUAGCCGGACUGAGAGGUUGAACGGCCACAAUGGAACUGAGAACGGUCCAUACUCCUACGGGAGGCAGCAGUAGGGAAUUUUCGGCAAUGGGCGCAAGCCUGAACCCGAGCAACGCCGCGUGAACGAAGAAGUUAUUCGUAAUGUAAAGUUCUUUUAUCUGGGAAGAAAAAACAAAUUGACGGUACCAGAUGAAUAAGCUCCGGCUAACUACGUGCCAGCAGCCGC